rnacentral:rRNA from 1 species
UACGUAGGUGGCAAGCGUUGUCCGGAUUUACUGGGUGUAAAGGGCGUGCAGCCGGGCUGACAAGUCAGAUGUGAAAUCCCGCGGCUCAACCGCGGAACUGCAUUUGAAACUGUCAGUCUUGAGUACCGGAGAGGUCAUCGGAAUUCCUUGUGUAGCGGUGAAAUGCGUAGAUAUAAGGAAGAACACCAGUGGCGAAGGCGGAUGACUGGACGGCAACUGACGGUGAGGCCCGAAAGCGUGGGGAGCAAACAGG